rnacentral:rRNA from 1 species
GACGAACGCUGGCGGCGUGCUUAACACAUGCAAGUCGAACGCUGAAGCACCAGCUUGCUGGUGUGGAUGAGUGGCGAACGGGUGAGUAAUACGUGAGUAACCUGCCCUUGACUCUGGGAUAAGCCCGGGAAACUGGGUCUAAUACUGGAUGCUACAUGUCACCGCAUGGUGGUGUGUGGAAAGGGUUUACUGGUCUUGGAUGGGCUCACGGCCUAUCAGCUUGUUGGUGAGGUAAUGGCUCACCAAGGCGACGACGGGUAGCCGGCCUGAGAGGGUGACCGGCCACACUGGGACUGAGACACGGCCCAGACUCCUACGGGAGGCAGCAGGGGGGAAUAUUGCGCAAUGGGCGAAAGCCUGAUGCAGCGGCGCCGCGUGAGGGAUGACGGCCUUCGGGUUGUAAACCUCUUUCAGCAGGGAAGAAGCCACAAGUGACGGUACCUGCAGAAGAAGCGCCGGCUAACUACGUG